rnacentral:rRNA from 1 species
CCGUGGUGGUUUUGGCAGGAGGGUCACACUCGGUCUCAUUCCGAACCCGGUCGUUAAGUCUCCUUGCGCUGAUGGUACUGCCCUGUUGUGGGGUGGGAGAGUAGGUCGCUGCCACGGU